AACGAACGCUGGCGGCAGGCCUAACACAUGCAAGUCGAGCGCCCCGCAAGGGGAGCGGCGGACGGGUGAGUAACGCGUGGGAACGUGCCCUCUUCUACGGAAUAGCCUCGGGAAACUGGGAGUAAUACCGUAUACGCCCUUAGGGGGAAAGAUUUAUCGGAGGAGGAUCGGCCCGCGUUGGAUUAGGUAGUUGGUGGGGUAAUGGCCUACCAAGCCGACGAUCCAUAGCUGGUUUGAGAGGAUGAUCAGCCACACUGGGACUGAGGCACGGCCCAGACUCCUACGGGAGGCAGCAGUGGGGAAUCUUAGACAAUGGGCGCAAGCCUGAUCUAGCCAUGCCGCGUGAGCGAUGAAGGCCUUAGGGUUGUAAAGCUCUUUCAGGGGGAAGAUAAUGACUGUACCCCCAGAAGAAGCCCCGGCUAACUCCGUG
rnacentral:rRNA from 1 species